GAUGAACGCUGGCGGCGUGCCUAAUACAUGCAAGUCGAGCGAACAGACGAGGAGCUUGCUCCUCUGACGUUAGCGGCGGACGGGUGAGUAACACGUGGAUAACCUACCUAUAAGACUGGGAUAACUUCGGGAAACCGGUGCUAAUACCGGAUAAUAUAUUGAACCGCAUGGUUCAAUAGUGAAAGACGGUUUUGCUGUCACUUAUAGAUGGAUCCGCGCCGCAUUAGCUAGUUGGUAAGGUAACGGCUUACCAAGGCAACGAUGCGUAGCCGACCUGAGAGGGUGAUCGGCCACACUGGAACUGAGACACGGUCCAGACUCCUACGGGAGGCAGCAGUAGGGAAUCUUCGGCAAUGGGCGAAAGCCUGACGGAGCAACGCCGCGUGAGUGAUGAAGGUCUUCGGAUCGUAAAACUCUGUUAUUAGGGAAGAACAAAUGUGUAAGUAACUAUGCACGUCUUGACGGUACCUAAUCAGAAAGCAACGGCUAACUACGUG
rnacentral:rRNA from 1 species